rnacentral:lncRNA from 1 species
GUUUGUGCUAUACAAUUAUGUAUUGUCCAGUACAUUAGGUAAUUCAGUCUUUAAGGUUUUAUCUGCAGAUAUUCAGUCUUAAAGUUUUAUGUACUCUUAUGGUUUAUAAUUGAUCUCAAUAAAGUGAACCAGUUGGAAAUAGACAUUCUAUUUCAGACCACACUUUAUGUUAUUUCCAUGCUACACACCUACACUUGAUCC